AUGGAGCAGCCGAGUAAAGCAGAACUCAAUCACGAAAACAGCCAGCACCAACCUCGGAAACAUGAUCUUAAGCUGCCGGAAGAGAAGCUCAAUACCAUGGCCGUCCGGAUGGCGUUCUUUUACAAACUGAUGAGUGGCUGUGGUGCGCUGGCUUUCGCCUGGGCCACCGUGGUGCUGCUCGGUGGAUUCUCCACUCUGAUCAAGCAGAAGGACUUCUGGUUUGUAACCAUCAUCGUCUUCAUGGAAGCUACCUGGUAUGUACAUAUCACUCUUUUUUUAUUUAUUUUUUAUUGUAUUAUCUUGCAAUAA
rnacentral:rRNA from 1 species